UACAUUGUUGACUUAGAGACACUUGGAUUUAAAUUAAGUAACAAUGAGACCAGUAAUGGCUGCCGACUCCUCAUUUUUUUCAAAUUUUAAAACGGAUUAACAGCACUUUUCAGGCAGGAAAAUGACUGAAUAUUACUUAGUCAACAACACUGGGUUAUGAAGAAUUCCAGCCUGGAUUAAAUACUAUGUUGGAUCGUUGAGAGCAGAUUUUACAGCCAUGUCUAUCCACAAGGCAGUCGCAUCUGAUAGAAAUGAUCACUAAACAUUCUAGAUGGGUAAAGUACCUGAAGGGGCAUGAAAACCAAAUCAGCAUUGACUCAGCAUUGAGUAGUUAUUAUCUGUGUACACACUUCAAGUACAUAGGCAUGGGAACAGACCAAACUUCAAAUGUUGAAGAGUGAAGAAUUAUUGUGAAAAAAUCUAAAUGUUAAAAUACCAUUGACAAAAUAAAACAGAUAGACAUCAAAUUAUCCACAGAGAGUGUUUACAUGUUAUAAUAUUAAAAUAACAUUAGCUGCGAACUUUCACUCUGACAUUUUGGAGGGGCAUAAUUCCGCCUCCUUUAGUAUUCUUGUUUCUUCACAUAUUUUAGCUUAAAAGUACACUCAUUCUUUUAAACUCUGUAUUCUGAGUUAGAAUCAUAAGUAAAAUUCAUUUAUUUGAAAGAGCACAUUUUAUGAAUAAGUCCAAUUAAGCUUUUUUAGAUUUUUACAAGAAAAAGGUUGAUUUUUAAGCAUUUUAUUAGCUAUAAAACU